GGGAAAAGAAAUUUGAAUGCAAAUCAAAUUGGAUUUUUUUCUGGAAAUGUUCUGUUUAAGUCUGUGAGGAAGUCACUGCAGCUGUGAUUAAAACUUAUUUUCUUAUAUUUGAUCAGAAAUAAAAGUCCCUCUCCUUUUCAAAAGGGGUUUGUUAUGAAGGAACUUUACAACACUUCCAAUCCCAUUUAGUUAUUCAUUCAAGAGCCAUUGCCUUUCACCAGGGCAAUAUUAGCAGAAUUGGAAGUGUAACAAAUACAUAAAAUAAUCAGUGGGUCGAAUGAGAGGGAGAUCACAGAGACAAUGAGGGAAGACAGCUCUUUAUACAAGAUUUCUAGUAAAGAAAAGGAGGAUCCAAAUCAUGAGCUGAAGAAUCCCUGGCAGCCUCAAUGGGUGAAGAGAGGUUUUAAUGAAGCAUCAAAGCAAGGGAUGGGGCAUCUUUUGCCUUUUGAGGAAAAGGGCAUUUAAUAUUCAUGUGUUUCUCAGUGAGCAGGUCUAUGCAAACCUACCUCCAAAGUCAGAGGAAGCUGAGAGGCCUAAGAAAGAGGCUGACAAAUCCCAUUUUUUAGAAUCAAACAUUUCGCAGGGAUUUAGGAACAGAAGCCAUGUCUGUGUCUCAAGCAGUGUUGAGAUAAGAUACUGGAUCCCCAUGCCAUUGUCCCUCAGACCUAGGGCUUAUAUAACAUAGGGAAGUGGUGACUCAGAAGGCAUGUGUAGGACAACUGCAGUACAAUAAUAUCAAGGUUAAUUUGACCUAAGGGCAGGAUUUAUGGUAAGCACCUGCUCUUACAUAAGAAACAAUAGAUGAACUGAAAAUCGUAGCAGCUUCCCAGAGCAGGAAUUAAUCAGAAGUCAACAUGUUGAAUUAGCAUCCACAGUGGAGCUGCCUUGGCCUGCACAUCAUCUUUGCAAGAGAGCUAUUCUUGUAUUGACUUCAUGAUCUCUUGUUUUGCCUUCAAGCUUCCUUAAAAUCCAUGGUUUUUGUCAUUUAAAAAAACAAGCAGGGUAAGGAGUUAUGGAGGAAAGGUGGAGAAAUGUUAUUUUAGAUAGCAGUCAGAAAAAGCUUGUGCGAGGGGAGAUACUUCAGCAGUAAUCAUAAUGAAAUGAGGGAACAAGACAUGCAGAUGACUAAUAAGAGCACUCCACCUCUGGGCACAGUAGCUCAUGCCUGUAAUACCAGCACUUUGGGAGGGCGAGGUGGGCCAAUCACCUGAGGUCAGGAGUUCGAGGCCAGCCCUACCAACAUGCUGAAAAUCGCGCCACUGCACUCCAGCCUGGGUGACAGAGAGAGACUCCACCUCAAGAAAAAAAUAAGAAAGUGGAGAGUAAAAAACAACUUCAUGUUUGGUGCCUGAGCAAAUUAGAAGUUACGAAUUAAUUUGCUGAGACAGGGAAGCUUGGAGGAGAAAUGCUUGUACACAUGGGGAAUCAAGUAUUCUUUGGACAUGCUGAGUUUGAGAUGCGCUUAAGCUUUCAAAUUGGAAUGUGGAUUUAGAAGUUGGAUAUAUGAAUGUGGGGUUCAGUAGAGGGUAUAUUCUCAGGAUUAAAAGUAUGGAGUCAUCAGAAAGAAAUAGAUAAUGUGGUGUGAGAUUUUUCAGUCCUCUGCUUUUCAGGUAUUUGCUAAGAUGGCAUUUCUUAGCUCUCUGUGGUUAUGUGGAGCCUUGAAAAUAGCUAUGAGAGGAAGCUAUUUUAGGCUGGACCAUUUAACUUCAGUUCAGUAUGAGAACUUCAAGAUAUCUUUUUGUUGUUGUUCCUGUGGUUGUCUCCUGACAGUUCUCCAGAUGGUGGCUGCUCCAUCUGUCUGGGUCCCAGAUUAAGGACAACUUAUAGCAUAACUCCCAGCUGACUCACAAUGAUAUAGCAUGAGUGAGAAAUCGACCUUGCCAUCUUGGUUUCCUGAAAUACGGGAGUUAUUUGUUAUUGCAUCAUAGCCUAGCCCAUCCUGAAAAAUACCAGAAAUAAAUAACGCUGUAGGACUGAGUGAGAUCACCCAAGGAGUGAAUAUGGAAAGAAGAAAGAAGAAUUCCAAGGAUUGAGCCAUGGCAUACUCUGACAGUCACUAAUCAGAAAAUGAAGAGGAUGAAGAUUAGGCAAAGGGACAGAUUAUGAAUCAUUUAUUUAUUUUCUAAAACACCAUUAUUACCGUUAUUAUUUAUUUUUUGUUUCAAAAUUGAUAACAAUUUAAUAAAAGCACUUUUCCCCGGACAGCGGAAGAAAACACUUGUUUAAAAACCAAGUAGAACCAAUUAUAGCACGCAUUUGUCUGUAUAACUAAAAGAGUAUUUCUGUAUCAAAAUAAGUCGAGUGUAAAGCCUAUUUACUUUCAGUUUAUACAGAUUCCUCUAAAACAAUUUUGACUACUGAGGCUGAUGUAUCCACAAGAUGAAGCCUAAGUCAUAAAAUCUGCUUAACUUCAUCAUUUCUUCAAUAUAUUUGAAGUUGUGGUAAAACUUUAUGGCAAAUUUUAGUAUGUAGCAUAGUCUAGUAUAUCAUAGUCCAGUAACAUUUAAUAGCAUAUACCAGGUUUUUGACUGAAUUUCCUAUUUUACUCAUUGCAGGGUCAUUUUGAUUUCCUUAAUUUAAUUAUAUAUCUCUGAACUUCAGUUCUACAUAAACUGAAUCAUUUGGAGCAACAGGUAUUUGUUGCCCAGGUGAUAGCCUGAAGAAAGACAAAUUGGCCACACACACACACACACACACACACACACACGCCCCGUAACUAUUUAAACUCUAUAAUAUACACUGAGCAAUGUGCACACUUGGUUAAUAUAAUUUCAUUGUGUGAUACAUGAUAGGCAAAAAUGCUGGUCCCAUGUGGAUUCAUGACAAAAUAUAGCUGCCUCCGUGGCCGCCUUCCCUUGUUAGGUUCUGAAAAGCUUUACAACAAAUGUGAAAAUGCCAUAUUUCCAUCAGUGACAGGUAUCAGCUUCAUUUAUAAAUGUAUAUUUUGAAACUAUUUUACAGCUCUUCUUCCUAUGCAAGAAAGUUUAUUUCAAGGCUGUCAUAAUUUGAUCUUUUUGAAGACAAUUUAAUUUACACAUAUGAAUCCAAAUUCCUAUUAAGAAAUUAACUGCCUGUCAUAAUACUAAUGAAAAUAACCCUCCUAAGGUGGCCACUGAUGAACACAUGAACAUCUUUAACAAGGGUAAGCACACACAGACAGAUGGUGACAAUUGUGUCAAGGGUGUACUCCUUCCCAGCAAGGUGUAAGUUUUCUUUGGAUGUUGAUUUUAAAACCAACCCCAAUUUCAAAAACAUUGAAAUAUUUUUAAUGAAUAAAACUUUUGAUUGUUUGAAUAUUCCCCAUCAUCUCUCUCGUCUCAUUGCUAAAAUGGUUUCUGGUUUUCUUUGGUUUCCUUUUCUCUGACCCCACCCAUAUGGGAUAAACCAGCUAUUGCCAGCUUAAUUUGGGGGGUUUUGUGAUGCUAAGUCAUAAAGAGGGAAGGGUCGAAGAGCAAAGUGAAAGGGUGGAAGGAGAGGUGUACAAAGCCUAGGGACAAGAACUGGUGUGGUUGGAGGGGGAUUGGUAACAGAAGAGUAAUCAGCAGGUGUGAGUAAAAACUAGGUGAGAUGAAAGAAGAAUGACUAAAUGUCAGGAAUUGGAUCUCCUUUCUAGACUUUUAGAAGUACAAGUGAAAAAUGGAGUUCAUUUUGACCUGUUUGGACAUUGUCUCUUUAAAGAAAACUGAACUAGGCUGUUUAUUUUUUCAAUCAUUUAUUCACUCAACAAUUUUUUAUUGAGCUCCUACUAUAUGCCAAGCAUUUUCUUUGGUUCAAGGAAUAUGGUAGUAAACGAAACAGCCUGGUUUUCAAGGAGCUUAUGUGUAGGAAAGCAUUAAUUAAACAAAUGAAUUAGUAAAGCAUAUGGUAGAAAGUGAUACAUUGGCUAAAAAAAAAGGCA
rnacentral:lncRNA from 1 species